rnacentral:tRNA from 1 species
GCUUCUGUGGCUCAGUUGGCUAGAGCGUUGGUCUCAUAAUCCAAAGGUCGCAAGUUCGAGCCUUGCCAGGAGCA